AUGUUCAGACAUGCACUACAAGCUGUUGCAUUCCUCAACGAGGAGAAAAUCACCACCAAGGUAGAGCACUUGAAGGAAACAUUCAGGUGGUCGGAUGCCGAGGUGGGCAUUGCCGUUUCUAAGGCUCCAACGUUGCUGACGAGGACUAAGGAAUCGCUGCAGCGCAGGUCUGAGUUCCUCAUCUCUGAGGUGGGCCUAGAGCCAACAUACAUAGCACAUCGGUCGGUAAUGCUCACUUACAGCCUGGAGGGCCGGCUGAGGCCCCGGUACUACGCUGUAAAGUUUCUCAAGGAAAAUGGAUUGCUCAAGGGCGGCCCGAGCUACUCUACUGUUUUCAAUGAGACCGACAAGGUAUUCAGGGAGAAGUACAUAUGCCCUCACAAGGAAGCUGCACCACACCUCCAAGAGGACUAUGAUGCCGCUUGCAAAGGGGAAGUGCCAACCAAUUUCAGAUUCACAUGA
rnacentral:rRNA from 1 species